ACCUGCUGGCUCAGUCAGUAGAGCAUGAGACUCUUGAUCUUGGGGUCAUGAGUUUGAGCCCCAUGUUGGGUG
rnacentral:tRNA from 1 species